GACGAACGCUGGCGGCGUGCUUAACACAUGCAAGUCGAGGGAGAACCUCGGGAGGGGUAACCCUCCUGAGGGGAGACCGGCGAACGGGUGAGUAACACGUGGGCAACCUGCCUCAGGCUUCGGAAUAACCUCGGGAAACCGGGGCUAAUGCCGAAUACGCUGAUCGGAUCGCAUGAUCCGAUCAGGAAAGCUCCGGCGGCCUGGGAUGGGCCCGCGGCCUAUCAGCUUGUUGGUGGGGUAACGGCCCACCAAGGCGACGACGGGUAGUUGGCGUGAGAGCGCGAUCAACCACACGGGGACUGAGACACGGCCCAGACUCCUACGGGAGGCAGCAGUGGGGAAUCUUGGGCAAUGGGGGCAACCCUGACCCAGCGACGCCGCGUGCGGGAUGAAGGCCUUCGGGUUGUAAACCGCUUUCAGCGGGGACGAAGCGAAAGUGACGGUACCCGCAGAAGAAGCCCCGGCUAACUACGUGCCAGCCGCCGCAGUAAUAC
rnacentral:rRNA from 1 species